UACGGAGGAUGCAAGCGUUAUCCGGAAUGAUUGGGCGUAAAGCGCCUGCAGGUGGCCGUUCAAGUCUGCUGUCAAAGACCGGGGCUUAACUUCGGAAAGGCAGUGGAAACUGAACAGCUAGAGUAUGGUAGGGGCAGAGGGAAUUCCUGGUGUAGCGGUGAAAUGCGUAGAGAUCAGGAAGAACAUCGGUGGCGAAGGCGCUCUGCUGGACCAUAACUGACACUCAGGGACGAAAGCUAGGGGAGCGAAUGGG
rnacentral:rRNA from 1 species